rnacentral:rRNA from 1 species
CCCUUAGAUGUUCUGGGCCGCACGCGCGCUACACUGAUGCAUUCAACGAGUCUAAAACCUGGUCUGAUAGGGCUGGGUAAUCUUUUGAAUGUGCAUCGUGAUUGGGAUAGAUGAUUGCAAUUCUUCAUCUUCAACGAGGAAUGCCUAGUAAACGCAAGUCAUCAGCUUGCAUUGAUUACGUCCCUGCCCUUUGUACACACCGCCCGUCGCUCCUACCGAUUGAAUGUUCCGAUGAAUACCAUGGACUGAGAGUAUGAAUGGGUUCGCCUAUUUCUGCUUCUCGGGAAGUGGAGUAAAUCUUAACAUUUAGAGGAAGAAUAAGUCGUAACA